rnacentral:piRNA from 1 species
UCACAUGGCCGUUAUUUAUCA